rnacentral:rRNA from 1 species
AACGAACGCUGGCGGCAGGCUUAACACAUGCAAGUCGAACGCCCCGCAAGGGGAGUGGCAGACGGGUGAGUAACGCGUGGGAAUCUACCUAGUUCUACGGAACAACUGAGGGAAACUUCAGCUAAUACCGUAUACGCCCUACGGGGGAAAGAUUUAUCGGAAUUAGAUGAGCCCGCGUAAGAUUAGCUAGUUGGUGGGGUAAUGGCCUACCAAGGCGACGAUCUUUAGCUGGUCUGAGAGGAUGAUCAGCCACACUGGGACUGAGACACGGCCCAGACUCCUACGGGAGGCAGCAGUGGGGAAUAUUGGACGAUGGGCGCAAGCCUGAUCCAGCCAUGCCGCGUGAGUGAUGAAGGCCUUAGGGUUGUAAGGCUCUUUCAGUGGGGAAGAUAAUGACGGUACCCACAGAAGAAGCCCCGGCUAACUUCGUGCCAGCAGCCGCAGUAAAAC